UCUUUUCAUGAUUUCUUAGCAUUUUACAUCUUGUGGUCCUCUUGCCUUGACGUCAAUGAAGAUAAAGCUUUAGCCAAAUAAAGGUUACAAUAACAGUGAGGCCAUAGCCAAAAAGCUCAGCUUUUUCGUCCUGUAUAUUUAACCGAAGUCACUUAUUUACAGAAACACUGCUUACCUGUCAACCUCUAUAUAAAUACAAUCAUAAAUGUAAAAUGCUAAGAAAUCAUGAAAAGACCUCCUCUAUCAACUCACUGACAAGAAACUUCUCUAUGUCACUUAAAGCUUGCUCAAGUUCCUGCACAGAGAAUCCAUUUCUCCAACCCAAAUCCCAUAUUCCACUCACCACUCCUUUGCACCUCAUAUCUUUCUCAAAUGUUGCAUACAAACUAUCUGUAAGAAGGUGGUCGCAAGCAAGCUUUUGGUAGCUCCUAAGAGUUUCAAUUCCUCUACAAAUUUCCUCUACCAACUGAUCUAGAGAGAGAGAAAUUCUUGAAUCUCCCAUAUAAGAUAAUGGAAGAUGCCUUGUUUGUGAAUCAGGAAGGCU
rnacentral:misc_RNA from 1 species